AUACGUAGGUGGCAAGCGUUGUCCGGAAUUAUUGGGCGUAAAGCGCGCGCAGGCGGUCCUUUAAGUCUGAUGUGAAAGCCCACGGCUCAACCGUGGAGGGUCAUUGGAAACUGGGGGACUUGAGUGCAGAAGAGGGGAGCGGAAUUCCACGUGUAGCGGUGAAAUGCGUAGAGAUGUGGAGGAACACCAGUGGCGAAGGCGGCUCUCUGGUCUGUAACUGACGCUGAGGCGCGAAAGCGUGGGGAGCAAACAGGAUUAGAUACCCUGGUAGUCCACGCCGUAAACGAUGAGUGCUAAGUGUUAGAGGGGUUAAUCCCUUUAGUGCUGUAGCUAACGCAUUAAGCACUCCGCCUGGGGAGUACGCUCGCAAGAGUGAA
rnacentral:rRNA from 1 species